UACGGAGGGAGCUAGCGUUGUUCGGAAUUACUGGGCGUAAAGCGCACGUAGGCGGCUAUUCAAGUCGGGGGUGAAAGCCCGGGGCUCAACCCCGGAACUGCCCUCGAAACUAGAUAGCUAGAAUCUUGGAGAGGCGAGUGGAAUUCCGAGUGUAGAGGUGAAAUUCGUAGAUAUUCGGAAGAACACCAGUGGCGAAGGCGACUCGCUGGACAAGUAUUGACGCUGAGGUGCGAAAGCGUGGGGAGCAAACGGG
rnacentral:rRNA from 1 species